GCAGCAUUGGUGCUCCUUGGGGAUAGGAUGCUGGCUCUGAGGUCUGGAAGGUGAGUAUUGACUUGGGCAGCUCUUGACUUGGGCAGCAAGUCCCAGAAGCUGUAGCGGCUGUCACCGUGCGCGCGGGAGCUGGAAGGGGCGCGAGUCCCCCGGCGGAGGCGGCGAUGGGCGAGCAGGGACGGACGGGCACCGGGAGCUCCUCAGGGCUGCGGGGCUGGAAAGUGGCUGCGAAGGGACCUGGGAUUUCUCUGCCCCCCCUCCGUGCUCCGUCUCCGCUCGCCUUCCCGUCCCUGCCACCUGGGUGGCAUCGUGAGGCUCCAUCCAUCACUCUCCGGCAUCUCGAUCGCUCCUUGUGGGCUCACCCUCCGUGUGUCCAGGAGUCACUCGUCAACAACAAACAGUUAAAAGGAAGAAAAUAGGCUGGAAAUAUCAAUGCACUUUGGUAACAAUAAACCCUGCUUUUAAUUUAUGCUAAUAUGUAGGGUUGUGGUGACAGUAAGAACAAAAUUACAGAGUGGCUUUCUAGCUGGUAAUUAUCCCUCCAUUUUCGUUGCUCGGGAAGAUGGACACACAAUUAUGCUCUCUUGCUGUAUAUUAAUACGGAUUCUUGACAUCUUCAGCAGACCUGGAGCUGUCAUCGGGCUUUUUGUCUACUUUAAUUGAAAAUUAAUGGUUACUGUGUUACCACGGAAACCGUGGCAAUGGACGCCAAUAGCGCUCACAUAUCAAACAGGCACUGGUGGCAUUGUCUGUCCGUGUUGACCUUGAAAGUUAAAAGAAAAACUUAAAUUAAAAAAAAAAAAAAAAAGGAGAGGGGUAGGAAAGAAGGGGGAAAAAACCUUGAAAACCGAGGGGUGGGUACUGGGAAUCAAAGGAAGGGAAGAAGGGGGGAAAAAUGAGGGAUGUGAAGGAAAAACUUGGUGUCUCUUGUAUCUGGAAGGGGAGGAAAAAAAAAGC